CAGAGCUCCACAGCAAUAAUACUCCCAGUAAUGUGUCUGAGUGUAUAACAGAGCUCCACAGCAAUAAUACUCCCAGUAAUGUGUCUGAGAGUAUAACAGAGCUCCACAGCAAUAACACUCCCAGUAAUGUGUCUGAGUGUAUAACAGAGCUCCACAGCAAUAAUACUCCCAGUAAUGUGUCUGAGUGUAUAACAGAGCUCCACAGCAAUAAUACUCCCAGUAAUGUGUCUGAGUGUAUAACAGAGCUCCACGGCAAUAAUACUCCCAGUAAUGUGUCUGAGUGUAUAACAGAGCU
rnacentral:lncRNA from 1 species